rnacentral:rRNA from 1 species
GAUCAUGGCUCAGGAUGAACGCUAGCGGCAGGCCUAACACAUGCAAGUCGAGGGGCAGCACGUUAAAGAGUUUACUCUUUAUGGUGGCGACCGGCGGACGGGUGCGUAACGCGUAUGCAACCUGCCUGACACAGGGGGGAGUAAUCCGAAGAAAUUUGGUCUAAUACCCCAUAAUACCGAUAUAGGCAUCUAUGUUGGUUGAAAGCUUUGGUGGUGUCAGAUGGGCAUGCGUUGUAUUAG